rnacentral:rRNA from 1 species
UACGUAGGGUGCAAGCGUCGUCCGGAAUUAUUGGGCGUAAAGAGCUCGUAGGCGGUCUGUCGCGUCUGCUGUGAAAACUCGGGGCUUAACCCCGGGCCUGCAGUGGGUACGGGCAGACUAGAGUGCGGUAGGGGAGACUGGAAUUCCUGGUGUAGCGGUGAAAUGCGCAGAUAUCAGGAGGAACACCGGUGGCGAAGGCGGGUCUCUGGGCCGUAACUGACGCUGAGGAGCGAAAGCAUGGGGAGCGAACAGG